rnacentral:rRNA from 1 species
UACAGAGGGGGCAAGCGUUAUUCGGAAUUAUUGGGCGUAAAGGGCGCGUAGGCGGCUUUGCAAGUGGCGGGUGAAAUCCCCUCGGCUUAACCGAGGAACUGCCUGCCAGACUGUGAGGCUUGAGACCGGGAGAGGUGAGUGGAAUUCCCCAGUGUAGCGGUGAAAAUGCGUAGAUAUUUGGGGAGGAACACCAGUGGCGAAGGCGGCUCACUGGACCGGAACUGACGCUGAGGCGCGAAAAGCGUGGGGAGCAAACAGG